rnacentral:tmRNA from 1 species
GGGGACGAUCGGUUUCGACGGAAAGCUCAUUUACAAAACAGCAAGCAGACUUUGAUUCUAGGUCUUAACAUUAGAAUUAAAAAAUAAAAGCUAACGAAAGUGACGCUUUUCCGGUUAACUACGCAUACGCGUACGCUUAACUGGCAUCCUGAGAUUUGAUUCUCGACCGAAUCGAAAGGGUGUAAACCCGUUCGAGAUGCUUUAUUUGCUUUAAUGGUUUAGAGGCAAAUAACCAAGACAAAUAAACCUUACUCUAAGAUUGCCUGUUGAUGGGCUUAUUUUAGAGGAAAUUUAAAUAUCAACUAUGCUUGUAGAAGUUUUGUUUAUAGUUUUUUCGGACGAGGGUUCGAUUCCCUCCGUCUCCACAC